rnacentral:lncRNA from 1 species
AAUUAAUUGAAAGCUGCAGCAGCCACAGCCAGCAGCCCACCAGACAGCCCCGCAGCACCCCUGCCUGUGAUGGUUUCCAUACAGUGUGAUGCUACACUGCUUGGGAGCAAUGCUUUUUACUUAGAAGCAGGACACAGAAAUGACUUUGUAUAAAGGUUUAGAAACUGGGGUCCCAGGCUCCACCUGCCAGAGACCUGGGGGCAGAGGUGUGUGGCAGCAGACGUCUGCCUGCCCUGUGAGCAGACUUGCAGGGUGUCGAACAGUCUUUAGGACCAAGCUAGUGUCUCUGGAAAGUAUUGGAUGAAAUCUGGCGGCUCCCCUACAUGGAGGGGCCAUCACUAAAAGUCACCCUCCCAGAAAUAGCGUCCCCCCACUGAUGUCAGCAAACACCAUUGCUCCCAAAGGCCCCUGGGGGAGUGGCAACACAGAGUGCAGGCUGGGGACUAAAUGGGACGCUGGGACAUGCAAACCUUAAGGCCUCGGGGAAUUGGGAAGAGGGUGACGGGCCCCAAACCACAGCUCAUACAAACUCAGAAUGCAAAGUAGAUGUGCAGAUAGAAACCACAGAGUGUCAGCCCAAGGGUAUGGGGCUCACGCUUCACUAGCCUCCACCCACGCAGCUUAGCCAUUUCCAUUCCACAGAGAAAACCAUCAGCAAAUGGGCCUUUGUACUUCACAGCAGAGGGACCGGUCACUUGCCACCUGGAGGACAGCAGUGGUUCCCAGAGAGAGGCCACGGAUCUGCGGUGGGAGGGUCGGAGAUGGCUCCACAGGUGGGCAAUCCCUGGCCAUCCCAGCGCAGCAGGAUAUCUGGGGCAGGACCCCCAUGUGCACGUGCCCAGGAAGUUCCUGUCCUACAGUCUGUGCUUUCUUCAAACAACAGACACCGAGAGUGGAGUCAGCACGUCACCUGUGGGACAGGAUGUGUGGGGGCGCUAUGCAAACCCUGAGGCCCUGCUAGUGGGCCUGGCUCACAGGCAGCAAAAGGACACCCCCAGCUGCUGGGCCUGACCCUCUCGGUGUACACCGCCUGAGAGGAGGCUCCCAAUAGGAUCUGCAUGUCCACUAAGUCAACUCAUUCUGGAGCCUAUCAUCUACACCGCUCACAUCCUACACCGCAACAUGAAAAGGGCAGACUCGAGUUUAGGUACCUGCCCAUGCGUGAGCCUGACUUCCUACCUGCGGACUAGAGUGGAAACAUGAAGCAAAUAUCACCAGACUGCUGGCUUUAACAUCAGCACUUGAGUUCAUGUAUCCGGGGAAGGCUCCAGUCCAGAGUUGCCAUCACCCCGCUAUGGGCCUCAGUUCCCACAUCCUGGCACCUGGGUUAGGGCUCCUUUACCUCCGACUCAGGGAUGAUGACCCUUGGAGCAAAAGCACAUCAUGACUUCCUCCACUCAAUGACAGCGCCCUAAUCACACCCCGAACAGGCCAGAACGAGCUCCCCAGGGUCAGAGGUGACACCUGAGUUCCCCCAGGCGCCCAUCAAGGCCUCGAGCCACAGAAUCUGUCAGGCAAAUGGCUAACUGGCCGCAACCACAAGGAAAGUCAGGCCAGCUUGUCUGCAAGCAGUCUUCACUGGAUGUCACACAGCUGGAGAGGAAAUGAAAAUCGGUGUGCUGCCUUCAAAUAGUCUAAGACGAACAUCUCUGACGGCAGGGCCUGCCCACCCCGUCAACCAUCAGGCCUGCCAUCCGAUGCUCAGAUAAGUCGUUGCCCGUGGGGCCAAGUGUGCAGAGGCUGGCCCUGGGAGCGGCCAGAGGGAGGUCCCAAAGACUCCGCUGCGGAUCCCUCCCCACCAUGUUCCAGAUCCCCCACAUGGUCGAUCUGAAAAAGGUGAGCAGAUGAAGCCAAGCCCCUGAAUCUUGCGUGACCAGAAACAUGGCCGCUGGCCUGCCAGGCACAAAGCCUUUGAGCAGCUACACAGUUACACCAAGAUCUAAGCAGUGCAGCCACCCUCCCUGGAGCACUCCCUGACAGUCAGUCACACAGGCCUCUCCAGUUCUGCAAUGCCCAGGGAAAUCCUCAUGCCUCCCAGUCAGCCCUCUACAUAUGGGCUUCCCCUCCUCUCCAUCCCCACAGAAAUACACCACACUUGCCCCAGAAUCAGGACACCGGCAGGCAUCUGAAGUCACACCCUAUACAGAAUACUACAGACAAAUGCUAUCUCCCUCCAUGGUUUUCCCAAAGCCAUCAGGUGCUAGUCUAUAUUUAAAGUCUUCACAUUGUAGUUUCUUACAUGAGUGGGAAGUUCCUGCUGUAUUUCAGAAAAAGCAUCAUGGCAGAUGCUCUAGAACAUUCACUAAUGAAUCAGCAGACAGCAAAACUUCCCCUGUGCCACGGGAGCAUGCAGUCAGUGGACCAGUGUGCAGUGUACAUCCAUGACCUGCCUGACUCCCUCUAAGCGCAUGGGACGCAGGUGAGCCACGGCAAUCUCUGCCCUCAGGCCGACAGCAGAUGCCCCGGGACUUGACCAGGACUGGACCUGCUUUGGUGAGCGACGCAGCCCUGGACCUGUGUACUUGGGGCUUCCUGAAUAGGCUGUGAUCAACUGUUGAGGGGGCAACUGGGGGACCCACAGGCUCCCCAGAGACCAUCCCUGCCUUGGCUACCCAGAGAGCCUCACAGGACGCAUGCUAGUAUGUCCCGGUCACUGCACUGGAGGCAGGAUGUGCAGAUGGCUAGUUAGGGGCACCAUUGCUCCCCACUUCAUGACUCCACCCAGCACUGAGAGCCAGCCCCACGGAGGCCUGGACGCCACAGGACAUAAGCAAACACCCACUGCAGUGUCCCUGAGACUCUGCCACAUGAAUCUCUACGAUAGUUCCUAAUCAAUCCGAGUCUUUUCUACAAUAAUAUGGUCUUUUCUUGUCCUUGGAGGAAAGGUAAUGGUCUCAGUUCUGCUUUGACCUAAAGGAGGGAGGUAGCCCAAUGGCCAAUGGGUAAAGACACCCGAGCAAGGACACCUGUCCACCCCUCAGAAGCCUCAGGGAGGUGGUAGUUGGUGUUUGCACCUCAGCCCCGAGGGCAUGGGGCCCCUCCCUGUUUCUCAAAAAACAGUUGCCUCCGAAGGGGAAGGAAAUUGGCAAAGUGCAUCUAGGCAAAGCGGGUGGAAGAGGAGAGCAUUUGGUGAAGGCAGUUAUGAGGAAUGCCCUGGGAUGGGCAGUGCACCCCCGCAGGGAAGACCCCCUGAACGGCUUCCCAGACCCCACUCUCCCUGAAACCAUGGUGCUGAAGAAGCAAUGGACCAUGAUAUCUUCAUCUUCACAUUAGAAACCUUUCUGCCGGGGCACCUGGGGGGCUCAGUCAGUGAAGUAUCUGCCUUCACCACACAUCCCAAUUUCAGGGCCUUGAGAUAGAGCCCGGAAUCGGAAUCGGGCUCCCUGCUCAGUGGGGAGUCUGUUUCCCCCUCUGCCCCUGCCCCUCUCCUUGCUCAUGCUCUUGCUCUGUCUCUAUCAAAUAAAUAAAAUAUUUAAAAAAAAAAA